rnacentral:rRNA from 1 species
AAGAGUUCUAUAACUCCCAAACCCAUGUGAACAUACCUAACGUUGCCUCGGCAGGUCGCGCCUACCUCGUAGUCUUACCCUGUAGGACUUACCCGGGAGGUGCGGAUAAGCCUGCCGGCGGCCCACCAAACUCUGUUUGAUAUUGAAUUCUGAACCUAUAACUAAAUAAGUUAAAACUUUCAACAACGGAUCUCUUGGUUCUGGCAUCGAUGAAGAACGCAGCGAAAUGCGAUAAGUAAUGUGAAUUGCAGAAUUCAGUGAAUCAUCGAAUCUUUGAACGCAUAUUGCGCCCAUUAGUAUUCUAGUGGGCAGGACCGUUCGAGCGUCAUUUCGACCCUUAAGCCUUAGUUGCUUAGUGUUGGGAGCCUACGGCAACGUAGCUCCUCAAAGUUAGUGGCGGAGUUGGUUCACACUCUAGACGUAGUAAUUUUUUAUCUCGCCUAUUAGUUGGACUGAUCCCCUGCCGUAAAACCCCAACUUCUCAAGGUUGACCUCGAAUCGGUUCAGACAAACUCGCUAAAUUGAAGCAUCUUAGUCAGCGAAGGAAAAGAAACCAACAGGGAUUGCCCUAGUAACGGCGAGUGAAGCGGCAACAGCUCAAAUUUGAAAUCUGGCCCUCGGGUCCGAGUUGUAAUUUGUAGAGGAUGCUUUUGGCGCGGUGCCUUCCGAGUUCCCUGGAACGGGACGCCUUAGAGGGUGAGAGCCCCGUACGGUUGGACACCAAGCCUCUGUAAAGCUCCUUCGACGAGUCGAGUAGCUUGGGAAUGCUGCUCUAAAUGGGAGGUAAAUUUCUUCUAAAGCUAAAUAUUGGCCAGAGACCGAUAGCGCACAAGUAGAGUGAUCGAAAGAUGAAAAGCACUUUGAAAAGAGGGUUAAACAGCACGUGAAAUUGUUGAAAGGGAAGCGUUUGCGACCAGACCUUUUCCUAGCGGAUCAUCCGGUGUUCUCACCGGUGCACUUCGCUAGGUCUAGGCCAGCAUCGGUUUCUGUAGGGGGAUAAAAGCUCUGGGAACGUGGCUCCUCCGGGAGUGUUAUAGCCCUCUGCAUAAUACCCUUACGGGGACCGAGGACCGCGCUCG